rnacentral:rRNA from 1 species
GACAGGCCCUAACACAUGCAAGUCGAGCGGUAACAGAAAGUAGCUUGCUACUUUGCUGACGAGCGGCGGACGGGUGAGUAAUGCUUGGGAACAUGCCUUGAGGUGGGGGACAACAGUUGGAAACGACUGCUAAUACCGCAUAAUGUCUACGGACCAAAGGGGGCUUCGGCUCUCGCCUUUAGAUUGGCCCAAGUGGGAUUAGCUAGUUGGUGAGGUAAUGGCUCACCAAGGCGACGAUCCCUAGCUGGUUUGAGAGGAUGAUCAGCCACACUGGGACUGAGACACGGCCCAGACUCCUACGGGAGGCAGCAGUGGGGAAUAUUGCACAAUGGGCGCAAGCCUGAUGCAGCCAUGCCGCGUGUGUGAAGAAGGCCUUCGGGUUGUAAAGCACUUUCAGUCAGGAGGAAAGCGUGGUGGUUAAUACCCAUCAUGUGUGGACGUUACUGACAG